rnacentral:lncRNA from 1 species
UCUCAACUUAAAAAUAAAAAAUAGUUUACUAAAAAGGUCAUUAUUGAAUAUUGACAAAAUGGUAAAAAAAUAAAAAAAUAAAAAACCAACUUUCAAGUCUAAAAUUGAUAAACCCGGCCCACAUUGAGUUUAGCAGAUCACAAAAAAAGCCCAGUUUAAAACAACUUCUAAACCUAAAUUCCUUCUAUAAAAGCCCAUCUUCCUUCUUCUCCAAAAUCAUCUAGGGUUUAGCUCCUCAUUCUCUUUCCGGCGCCGAAUCAGUGGCCGCCAUUGUAGAAUUGUGUAGUUUUAGUUUUUAUAUAUCAACUGUAUUUGUAUAUUUUGCACUUCGCAUUUCUAUAAGCUUCGCUAAAUUCUCAAAAUAGUGCAGUCUUACAGCGAUUAGUGCAUAAAGGAAAAGCUGAAUUUAUCAGCGGCGGCCAGACAACCGUUGAGAUGAAUCCACAGAUUGGUUCCGUUUUUGCUCCUGUCUACUAAUUUCAUCUCACAUUUUGUUUUAAUUAUUUCUGUAGUUUUUUCACUUUGAUGGUACACUUUUGAAAUUGGGGCGAGUUUUUCAGUACUCGUAUAAUCCAAAGUAUAUAUAUCAUCAUAGAAUAAGCCGUCUUUGUUGAUGUAGCAGUUGAUUUUUUCUGUUUUCCUUCUGGAAGAUAGAAGGAUCCUGCGUUUUAAUCCGAAGAUGGAGAUCUCAUAUCCUAUUGCCUUGAAGAGCGGAAUCUCUGCUAUUACUAUUUGGGAUUGACCAUGAGAAAUACAUUCAUUUCAACUAUUUUUUAUAUGUUUUGCCUGUGAUGAAAUCUAUUAUAAAGAACACCAUCUUUCGGGACUGAAUGGCCCUCAAGGCCUUGUUGUCAAUUCUGCAAUUCUGAGGCCUUCAAGUAUGAGUAUUAAUUAGAUUUCUGCUUGAGCUAUGUUUAAUUGAGAUGGAAGUGAUGAAUUUUUCCCCAGAUGAUCGAAGUUGAAAUUACUGAGCGCUUUUUAUGUAUUUUCUCCUUAUAGGGGAAAAUUCAAGCCAGAUAUUCUGAUCCGUCUCCAUUUUUUCUUCCAUUUUCUCUCUUCAAUCUUAAAAAAUGUGUCUUUUCUGAGUUUAUUAUGAAUUUUUUGGAUUACUUUGUUUAUGGAUGUGAUGAAUAUUUCCCCAGAUGAUCGAAACUGAAAUAACUGAGCGCUUUUUAAUGUUUUUUCUCCUCUUUAGGGGAAAAUUCAAGCCAGAUAUUCUGAUCCAUAUGUAUUAAUUUCAAUUGUUUUCUAUGUUUUGAUUGUUAGUAAUGUUAAUUUGUUAAUUGAAUUUGUUGCAUGGAGGUGAUGAUUAUUUCCCCAGAUGAUCGAAGUUGAAAUUACUGAGCGCUUUUUCAUGUUUUUUCUCCGUUCAGGGGAAAAUCCAAGCCAGAUAUUCUGAUCCAUAUACUUGCAAUAUUGUUAUUUAUGUUUGUUGAAAUGCGUCGAUAUACUGAUUACCAUCGAUGUUUAUAUACUAUGAUCGCUGUGUAUGAGCCGACGCCAUAUGUAUAUUCCAUUUCUGCUUCAUAAUUUGUUUCAUUUAGCUCUUUAAAGAGCUGUUUGAACCAGAUUUGGAUAUAUUAUCAUUGUUUAAUUUGAUUGAAGUAGGAGAUGGAAGUGAUGAUUUUUUCCCCAGAUGAUCGAAGCUGAAAUUACUGAGCGCUUUUUAUGUAUUUUCUCUAAAUCAGGGAUAAUCCAAGCCAGAUAUUCUGAUCCGUCUCCGUUUAUAUGAAUUUUUUUUGAUCUUUUUGUGUUUUUAUGAACUAAUUUGAUUGAUUAUUGAUGAAUUUGUGUUUAUGGAUAUGAUGAUCAUUUCCCCAGAUGAUCGAAGCUGAAAUUACUGAGCGCUUUUACUGUAUUUUCUCCUUAUUGGGGAAAAUCCAAGCCAGAUAUUCUGAUCCAUAUACCAAUUUAUGGUUUGUGUUGAUGUCAAUUCAUGUCUUUCAGUGCAAUUAUUCCAAUUUCUGUGUCAUUUUGGUAUAAUUUGUGAUGAUUUACAUUGAUUUGGGAUAAGUUCUUGCUGUAUUGUAGGACUCAAAAUGCAAAAAUAAUUGUACUAAGUUCAUGUCUUUGUUGAUUUUAUAGUGUUUGGGGAUUAUCCAAUGAUGGCAUUAAAUCUUUGAGACCUGAAUUAUCAAUUUUGAUGACACCUACAAGCAUUUUUUCUGACCUACAUCUUCGCAACUGUUCAUAUUGUUGUACAAGUGUAACCUAUAAAGACUUAUAUCAUAUGAUGUUUUAGAGAUAAAUAGUUGUGUCUUUAUCAUAUAUGAGGAUUUAGAUAUAUAAUAGUUGUUUCUUUAUCCUAUGAGGAUUUAGCUAUGUAAUAGUUGUUUCUUUAUCAUAUAUGAGGUUUUAGAGAUGUAAUAGUUGUUUCUUACUAUAUGUGUGGAUUCAAUCAUUUGAGAUCAAUAAAUUUCACAUUUUGUUUUAUACUCCUUGUAGUUAUAAUAUUUUGAUGGUACACUAUUGAAAUUGGGGCGAGUUUUUCAGUACUCGUAUAACCCAAUGUAUCUAUAUCAUCAUAUAAUAAUCUGUCUUUGUUGAUUUAGCAGUUUGUUUUUUCUGUUUUCCUUCGGGGGAAGACAGUUGAAUCCUGCGUUUUAAUCCGAAGAUGGAGAUCUCAUAUCCUAUUGCCUUGUGGAGCGGAAUCUCUGCAAUUACUAUUUGGGAUUGACCAUGAGAAAUACAUUCAUUUCAACUAAUUUUUAUAUGUUUGUCUUGUUAUGAAAUCUAUUAUAAAGAUCAUCAUUUUUGUCAAUUCUGCAAUUCCGAGUCCUUCAUCAAUGAGUAUCUAUUAGUUUUUCUCAUUCAAACUUUGUUAGGAAAAUUGAUUUUUUUUCUUGUGUUUGAGAUGGAACUGAUGAAUAUUUCCCCAGAUGAUCGAAGCUGAAAUUACUGAGCGCUUUUUAUGUAUUUUCUCCUUAUAGGGGAAAAUCCAAGCCAGAUAUUCUGAUCCGUCUCCGUUUAUAUGAAAAAGUUUUGAUCUUUUUUUUUGUUUUUGAACUAGUUUGAUUGAUUUUACUAUAUUUUCUCCUUAUAGGGGAUAAUCCAAGCCAGAUAUUCUGAUCCAUAUACCAAUUUAUGUUUUGCUUUUGUUAAGUUCUGUUCUUUCUUAUUGUAUAUCAGUGCAUUUUGUACAAUUUGUGAUGAUUUACAUUGAUAUGGGACAAGUUCUUCUGUAUUGUAUGACUCGUAAUGCUAAAAUCAUUGCACAGUGUUCUUUUCUUUGUCGAUGUAUAAAGUGUUUGGAUAUAUUUUUUCUUCAAAUAAUUUGUUUGAUUGAAUUAUGAUGUGUAAGGAUGAUGAAGAAAUCAUUCGGAUUCCCACUGAUGUAUAUACGUGAUUACUACAACCAGCUACUUCUGACUUCACAUCAAUUCUCUAUGUUUUCAAGUAUUUUUUUUUGCGUAUUUGGGGAUUUCCAGUGAUGGCAUGAAAUCUUUGAGACCUGAAUUCUCAAUUUUGAUGACAACUACAAGCAAUUUUUCUGAGGAUUUUCCCCAUUGUUUUUUAAGGCUGACAUUUUUUCAACUGUUAAUAUUGAUCUAUUAUGUUAGGUUUUAAAGAUGUGUUCUACUAAUCUCAAAACCAGCCAUUUGAAUGUAGUACAACUGAUUCACCUGUUGCAACAUGUCAACCACCCUUAUUAAUGGAGGAACUUGGGUGACAAUGCUACGCACUUUAACGGAGCAGAACAUGGUGGUGGACAGGCUUAGCAGGGAAAGCCUCAAUUGCUGAAAUUUUGGAAGACCAACAUUUUUCAUAGUUCCUCUACUGUUUUCAAGUAGAGUAGUAUAGACAUUUGGGAACUAUGUAUGUACUCAAGAAAGCUUUGAAUUUUUGUAUCUCUUUGUUAAAACUACUUAAUAUGAUGCCUCACAAUUUAUAUUGGUAAUCUAUUUUGAUUCAAUCAUUAUGACCAAAGAGUGAUGCAUAUGCAAUCUUCUAUUUUGUGAAGCUAAAAUUUUUAUUCAAAAGGAUGUUGAGGUUUGUUUAAACAUUUAACUUUUAGGAUAAAAGGAUGUUGAGGUUUGUUUGAAUGUCAUAUAACAAGGAGACUUUAAUAAUUGUAGUGGUUACCAAAGUAGUCAGUUCCCCUUCCAAUUUGAUAUAAACCAUUAUUCACAAAAUAUAUUUAAGCAUUUAAAGAACAUGUAACAAACGAAUUAAUAAGUGGAUGAAUUAGCUGUCCUCUCUCAUGUUGGUCAGAGCUCUACCUUUAUAUCACGUGAUGGAUGGAUACUAGGCAUCUCUGGUGAGAGAAUGCAAAACUACGCUUGUCGAUUUGAGUCGAGCUAACUUUUGAUCGAGGACUAUUCAUGUAAAGUGUUUGUAGCAUCAAUUUCAAAAAACUGUGUUCAUCUCACACAAAACAAAAUAUCAAAAAACAUAAGGUGUCAGGUUAUAUCUAUCUCUGCUCCUUGAUCGAACAAAAGCCGUUCAAAAGCCACUAAUGCAAAGCAUGAAAACAUUGACAGCUUUGGAUGGGAUAAGCAGAUAUUGGUUCUUGCAAUGGCCUGCUUUAUACAAAAACUCUUGACUCUGCAACAGUCCAAAUAGGCACUAAAAAGCUAUUGAAAUUUGAAUAAAAUGAUAAUACUCAUACAGCUUGUCCAUAUGUCGAUAAAACUCUAGAAUAUUUCAGAUGAAAAAAAAAAACUUAGAAAAUAGAUUGCCUCUGUGAAGCUUUCUUCCCAAGGAUUGCCUCCCAAACCACUGGCAAAAAUGGCCCUUUCUUGUCCAAAUAUUCCCGAACAGCCUUAUCGUCAACGAUGAAGCCUUUUUGCCUCACCGUUUUAAUCAUGUUUUGGGCAUCUUCAAGACUUUUCUCCUUGCAAAAUCCAUCAACCAAAGUCACAAAGGUCACCACGUUGGGGGAAUGUCCAGCUUCCAACAUUUCCAAGCAAAACUCAAAUGCAUCAUCUAAUCUGUUGCCCUGACUGAGCCCGCGGAUUAAGAUACCGUAACUAAAAGCAUUAGGAAUGAUGCCAUUACCUUGCAUUUUACGGAAAAUCCUCACAGCAUCAUCAAAUUUUUGGGCUUUAAAAAACCCAUCUACCACGGCAGUGUAGAUAACAACUUCAGGUAUUGUACCCUUUUCACGCAUCAGACCAAAGAGCUUCAUCGCUUCCUGUACCAAGCCGUCCUUGCAAAGCCCAUCAAGCAUUGCUACAGCAUUUGGUAUUAGGCCAGUUUCUUUCAUUUUCUUGAAUAUCUCAUCAGCAUCUUCUGGUGGAGCUGGAGGUGCCUCCGAAACAGGAGAGUCGCUACUUUCACCUUUGGGGUGGAGUGCAGGGUUUGUGUUUGGGUUUUCCUCUUUACGAUCAAAUCCAAGCUGAAAUCUUUUCAGAAAAUCUUCACUAUCCUGAGACUUCAUUUGACCUCCAUUGUUCUCACCAGAUCUUCUAAGAGUUGUAGAAUGGGUGGGGUUGUUGCUGGAAUCAGCUCUUAAGGGCCUUCUGAAAUCAUCUCUUAAGGGCCUUCUGGAAUCAUCUCUUAAGGGCCUUUUGGAAUCACCUCUUAAGGGUCUAUUCGGUAUAGGAUCAGGAGGAGGAGGAUAGUUGGACUGAGUGAAUUCAUCAGAGUAAUUGCUGUUUGAGCUGCUAAAUGAGCGUAUUUUUGUUGAAGGAAGUAUCUCAUCUACAUUUACCUUAGGACAACAGAGACUGCUGUAAUAUUUCCUAUAAAUGCUAAUACCCUUCUGUCUCACUAAUGUUGUUCUCAUAAUGCUUAUAUACUCGCUUCGAAACAACACAGGCUAGUUUUUCAAGGCAGCAAAGAUGGCUUUAUCCUGAAGAUCAAUAAAAUAGAAUUUCAGCUCAAAAAGUAUUUUAUACAGUGCAUUCAAAGACAGCAUAGCACUCUUAUGCACUUUCUUUUACUUUUCACCCACAGAGAGCAGUGUUAUAAAAAAUUGGAUAGAAGAUUUAACUACAUGUAAUGAGAGUAUAAAAAUGAUGAUACCGACGAUAAUAGAAUACAAGAGCACGUGAAGCAGCAGUGGAAGAUAAGACAGUAAUAGUAAAGGUGUCAGAAAUCAAAGGCUAAGACAGAAAAUAAGCAAUACAGCAGCUAAGGGCACAACAUCAGUCAGCUAUGUGCCAAGAACAGAUAAGUUCACACAGUGGCGGUGCCACCACUGUCCAGGGGGUUUCAAUUGACACCCCUUUGCAGGGAAAAAUACAUAGUGUAGUAUAUACGAUAUGUUGAAUCCGUUUAUUGGCUUCUUUGUGUGUUUACUUCUUAAUAGUUUGACUCAUUUUAGAGAAUUCUUGGCUCCACCACUGAGUUCACGUUUUACAAAAACAUGAACAUGGACAAUACCAACAUAAUAUCUUGAAAGUGUCAGAAAUGAAAACAAUAACUUCUCGUUCCAUUUUUAAAACUACAACUGACUAGUAUACACUUCAUAAACCAACCGAUCAACUACACCUCAGUUAGCUACACAAAUCCAUUCUACUCUAUUUGAACUUAUUUCAUUCCAAUACAUAUAUUGUGUCUUCUAAUCUCUCAUGCUCAUUUUAAUGAAUUAAUGAUUGCUACAAAACUAUCCGUUUCAAUUUCGUUAUCUUAUCUUCCCUUUAAACCUGACCCCAGUUAGUAGUGCUCCAUUCUUUAAUUUAGAUAGUUGUUAUCUUUUCCCUUUUGCUUUACAAACUCAUUUUUUGACUUAUAAAUAUAAUUUAUUUUUUCAUAUUAUGUUUUGGCCCUAUUUUGUUGCUCUUAUACAGCGUAUACAGUGAGUGUAUAUCACUGAUUAUUGCUGUAUAUCUCACGUAUAUGGCUGUAUAAAGCGUGUAUACAACUCUUCUCUUGAACACCUGUAUAUCAACUUUCGGGGACUUAUUCUUCAAUUCCAUUGGUUGGCUGACUCAAUGAAAGCAAAUUUGGGCCUCUAUGGCUCAAUUGGAAUGAAAAGAGGAAUGCUGUGGAGUUCGAAGAACUCACCCAGGGUCGCAUGAAAUAGAACGAAAUGGAUUAGCUUCUACUCAUAAAGAUAAAAUUUAUAAAUAAUCUAAGUAAUCACUUAGAAAAAGCAAUGCAGAUCAACACACUUCAACAGCAACUAUAAGUCAUAUAACACAAAUUUUUACUCCCAGAUUCAAGGGCUAAUUAAUCAAACUUCCCCUUCCCCCCAAAGACGCAAUUUCUAGCAAGUUAGGCACAAUGAGCUACUGGAAGACAAACACUUAACUAAUUCCAACAUUUCAAAGAUAAUGGAAAACAUAUAAGUAACACAAUAACCUAACAACAAUAAUUCAUCUAACUUGAAUUUGAAAAAAAACAUAAAAGCAGUGCUUUACAUACGUUUCAUAGGACUAACAGAACCCCUGGAAACAGAACUUCUAUUCAAGAAAAUACACAAAUUAGACUAACCAGUGACCACUUACUAGCGAGUAGCAACAAUAACAAAAAACAUCCAUACCAAUCCAGGCCCGCAAGAACACCAACUUUUCUGCAAAAAUAUGAGAUGGCUUAUGCCUCGGCAAUAGCAGUGCCAUCACUUUGACAAGAAUUCUUUGAAUUCUGGUACCAAAGAAGGUUAGCUGUCAAAUGGAGCACUCUAAAUCUCUUGAUGUAAGUCAGAGGAAACAAAGCACAUGAUAAAGCAAUGCGACUUGCAGACGACUAUACAGAUCUCUUUGUUUAACCCUAUUCCAUGCCUUUUAAGCCAGUUAGAUAAACCUGUGUCUGAAUGAUUGUACUCCCAAUUUUAAACCCAGGCACCACAGUAAAUCCCACCUUUGGCCUCGUCUUGCUCAAAGGGAAUUGAAUUUUCCUUGUAACAUCUUCCGUGUAGACCAUCGAGAAGUCCACCCCUCUCUCAACUUGGAAUAUCUCAACUACAGGAUUAAAUGAGUAUGCCAACUUAUGAAGCAGCCAUAUUGUACUAGCCACCCUUACAAACGACUCAUAAAACACACUUAACCACUUCGACCCCUCACCCCACCCUCCUUCUCCAAUUGAACCCAAAUCUCCAUCAAAAAUAAUUUUUGAUGACUGUGGUGUCCAGGCCAGCUUUCAUGCAAUACAAACUCAAUUUUGUAUAAAUAACUUGAACAUACACCACGAUUAACUCACUCACUCAUCGGUUCACUAACUAAUCUUACAUCUAACUAUCAUCAUCAUUUAGCAAAAACAUGUACCUUUACAAACAAAACACAAACCAAUAACAUAUCAAUCAAUAUAUCCCAGAAAAUUCAUUUUACAGUUUCUCAGAACCCUCUCAACACUUCUCCCCCUCACCAUCUCCUACCUCAAAUCCAAAAACAAACGUCUACCGGAAAACAACACUUAUUCAGUCAUUUUGAUCUUAAAAACAAUUAUCACCUAACCAUUUAGCAGUCUCUAUUCUUAUCAUCUGCUUCUUCGUACUCUUAUGCUGAAACAUCCCGCCUCUCUCAUCCCGAGAGGCAAUUCCCACACCCCUAAUAGAUAAAGGGGAGUGGGUGGGAGUCUGGGAGAAUUCCAUUGCAUUCACUAAACAUUACUCUCUCAGUCCCACUUUGUGUGGCACUUCUAAACAAAGGGAGGGUAGCUCAAGCGGAAAACACCCUCCACCUCCAACUUUGAAGUUGGGGGGUUCGAGUCACCAAGGGAGUAACGUGGAGAGGGAUACUAUUGACUCCCUAGGGAGAACAGUCGGGGCUGGUAGAUGUUAGGCUACCAUAUAAAAGAAACUGUUCACCACUUUUGCUUAUCAAGAAUCAAAUCGACUAAUUCUCCGAGCCAAACGGGACAAAAUUAAUUUAUUUUUUAAAGGAUUCUAACUCAAAUAUUAGUUGCAAUCCUCCUCACAUCAAAAUGGCAAAAAAUAUACAACAUUUCAAAAUAAUGGUUGAGUUCACUUAGCUUGUAUCUCAAAAAGCCAAAAGAUCCAUCCGUGAUAGGUUAAUACUAAUCUUGAAACUGGCAAAUUAUUUCUCCUAGUUACUAAAUACACCAAAGUAUAUCAAAUUCUCAAACAUGGCAACACUUGAAAUAAUUAGGAAUUCCAAUUCAUUUGUUAAAUAUCGAAGACAAAAAAAUAACUACAAAUUCUACCUUCUUCUCAAAACCAGAAAUUUAUCAAUACACAUUAAUCUUUCUUCUUCGUGAGUUAUCAAAAAAAUAAUAAUUACUAAUUCAUUGUUUUCACUCAUUACAAAAACAGCCUGAACGAUCACAUUUUUUCUUCUUCUUCAGAUCAGUUUUCAGAAAUAGAAGCAAAAAGAGAGAAAAACUGCUACGAGUUCACAUACCUCGAAGGGAUUGAACGGCGGCGAGCGACACAGCCGGCGGCAGCAAAGGCUCACUCAACACUCCGUAGCAGCGAGUUAAAACACAAUUCGGCUGUAUGUGGGGCGUGGCUAUUUAAUUAAUGUUCCUUUCGUCCCAAAAUAAGUGUUCCGUCAUUUUAAAAUAUAUUUUUCAACUUUGUUUUUGUAUUUGUAUUCUAUAUUUUGGAUGCGCAUAAGUAUAUACUUUAAUUUUUAACUUGAUAAAAAUAAAGAAAUAAUUAAUGGCUAAUACCAUAUUGGCUAAUACUUAAUUUGAGUACUACAACCACAUAUUCGAUAAAUAAUAAACAUACGUGUAUAUGAAAUUAGACUUUAAGUCCUUCGGAAUGAUUUAGUUGGUUUGGAGGAUGGUUAUCUACACGGAUGAUCCGAGAUCGAUCCCCCUCAAGAGUCGAGUCUGUCGCAUAGGACUUGUCUAGUGCGAUUUACAUCACUUGGAGCUCACCUGAAGGGACAAAAGUUGUAGCGGCUACGGGUUAUCCUUGGGUUUCAAAAAAAAAGAAAUUAAACUUUAAUAAAUUAUAUCGAAAAUUUGAGAUUCAAAAAAAUAUUUUUUUUCCUUAUCAAUAAUCCUACAACUUCACACAAUAACACCAAACUUUGAUCUUGUUAACUUCAAUAAAAAAUGCCUAAAAAUAGUUUCAUAUUGGCUAGACUUGCAAUCUUUUAAGUUUAAAUUGGCUAUCUUUGCAACUUCGUCCCCUAAAGAGUAAUGGGCCUAUUAGAAGCCCAAAAAACUGUUUCGUCUAGGGUUUCUCACAUAAAAGCAUACCUUAUUGUUUCAAAAGCCUCAAAGGAGAAAGAACUUCAGCUUUGCUUGCUUUCUCGGUGAGUUUUCAGUUAGAUUUGCUAAUGUUUUGUUAUUUUAUCGUUUAAUUUUGGGUAUGAAAUUGUUUGUGCAGUUUGAAUUUGCUUUCUAAUGAGCUUAUUGUUAUCAAAAUGAGUGAAUAAGUGUUGUUUUCCGGUAGACGUUUGUUUUUAGAUUUGAGGCAGGAGAUAUGGUGAGGGGAAGUGUUGAGAGGGUUCUACGAAACUGUAAAAUGAAUUUUCUGGGAUAUAUUGAUUGAUAUGUUGUUAUUGGUUUGUGUUUAUUUUGGAGUUAGGUGUUUUUGCUAGAUGAUGUUGAUGAUUGAUUAAUUUAAAUGGUUAUGGUUAUAGUUAGAUGUAAGUUCAGUUAGUGAACCAUUGACUGAGUUUGUAAAUUUGAGUUCCGGAGGUGAUAGGUGUCCAGCGUGCGAAAGCUGGCCCGGACACCAGUUUCAUUGAAAAUUAUCUUUGAUGGAAAUUUGAGUUCAAUUAGAGAGUGAGGGCAGGGUGGGGUGGGUGUUGCUUUCUGAGUGGUGGAGUGCACUUGUAAAUAUGAGAGUUGCUUUUGCCUAUUUAGUUAGUUAUGUUUUGUUUGGCCUAUCUAGUUGGACUGCCUAUUUUACUAAGAUUUGUUCCUUCCGAUCCUCUCAAGGAAUCCACCAAUUUAUGUGAUUACGGUUUCAUUUUGAUCCAGGAAUGAUAUCUUUUAUUGAUAUUGAUUUGUUUGUAUGAUGUGGGAUGGUGUCAUAUUAAUGUAUGAGUGGAGGAAGGUGUUAGAUACUGUUGCAGUUCAAUAUAUAUCGUUACUUGUGCCUUUUGUUCUGUUAAAUGUCCUGGUAUUCAGUGUCUUGGAAGUUAAUGUAAGUGCAACUUCUGCAUGGAUAAAUGUAGGAAAAGAAAUGCUCAGGAAUUACUGCUACCCCGGUGUCCCUUGAACUUCUUUGUAUUCAUUUUGAUGAUAUCACAUAAUUAUUGAAACUUUUCAUGUUGUUUGAAUCAUAACUACUGGAAUGCUUCAUGUUUUUUUAAUAGAUAAUGUUAAACUAGGUUGCAAGCUUUUACACGAUCAAGUAUAAGUUCUUUCAAAAUGCUUACCUUAUUAUUCCUGAGUUAUUUCUUGUUGUUUGAAUCGUAAUGUUUUCAUAUGCUUUCUCGCCUCCUAGGGCAGCCUCAAAUUGCUUUUCGAAUUUCAUAGAGACCUACUUCUUUAAUUAAUAAACUAUGUUCCAUUGCAUGUUGCGUUGGUGCUUUGUUAUCCUCGUCAUAUAUUUCCUAAGGUGUUUCCAAUUCUUAGUAACUUAAUUCCAUGUUUCAGCAUACACAGGUAAACCAUGAAGCAUAACAAUGUUAUCCCCAACGGCCACUUUAAGAAGCAUUGGCAAAACUAUGUAAGGACAUGGUUUAACCAACCUGCUCGCAAAACAAGGAGACGCGCUGGUGAGUUUCCCCUUUUUUUGAUGGCUUUAAGCCUCAAAUUCAACUUUGGCUCAAGAAUACUUACACUUCCUGAACUGUUUUGCUUUUGCCAACUCCAGCUAGGCAGAAGAAAGCUGCAACAAUCUUCCCUAGGCCAACAGCAGGAUCACUCCGACCUAUUGUUCAUGGACAAACACUAAAAUACAACAUGAAAGUUAGAGCUGGCAGGGGAUUCUCUCUAGAAGAGUUGAAAGUAAAGAUUCGUUAUCUUUCAUUUGUUAUUCGAUAUAAUCUGCCAAAAUACAUCCUCCUUCCCAUGUACUCAUAUCUAGAGAUUCCAGUAUAUCAAGCAGUUUUUUUUGUUUUGUUUUCAGGCAGCUGGUAUCCCCAAAAAACUUGCUCCAACUAUAGGCAUUGCCGUGGAUCACAGGCGCAGGAACAGAUCCCUAGAAGGUCUCCAAACCAAUGUCCAGAGGCUCAAGACAUACAAAGCCAAGCUAGUUAUCUUCCCAAGGCAUGCUAAGAAAGUCAAGGUAACCCUGAAAUUAUUGUAAUCAUAACCAGUCUGCUAUUGAUGAUCGAAGAACUUUUUGUUUGUGGUAUGAGCAUCUGAACUUACAUCUCAACACUAUUAAUUGCACAGGCUGGUGAUUCUAGUGCUGAGGAACUUGCUAAUGCCACUCAAGUCCAGGGUCCUUACUUGCCUAUUGUUAGAGAUCAGCCAGCUGUCGAGCUUGUGAAGGUCACAGAUGAAAUGAAAUCAUUCAAAGCUUAUGGCAAGCUGCGUAUUGAGCGUACCAAUGCUCGUCAUGUUGGUGUGAGGUUGAAGAGAGCAGCUGAAGCUGAGAAGGAAGAGAAGAAAUAAGACAUUUGAAAUGUCUUAUAGCCUUGCGCACUAGCAUUGCUAUUUUUUUUUGCACGAGUUUGAAUGAUGAAUUAUUUUUACUAUUAUUUCAAGAAUUUUACUUUUUUUCGUACUUGUUGAUGGAGUCUGUUAUGAAGAGUCAAGACUAUAACUCCCAUAGUAGUAUAUCCUUAAAGCGUAAGGUUUUGGUUAUAUUCUUGCUCUUAAUGUGUUUGAUUUGUUCUCUGCAUCGAUAUUUAUCCAAAAAGAGUUAUGUUAUAUACUAUCGAUAGUUGUUUUAGAUGAUAUGUGUUUGGUUAUUCUUCCAGCUUCAUGAUUUUCAUCUAAUCAGUGCUGAUUCAAACACAAGUCUUAAGAAGCAUUUUCUAUGUUGAUCUUGAAAUCAACAAUCACCUCAAUCUAAAUUCAAAGAUUUGGAAUAUUUGGACAAUAAUAUCUUAUAUUAGAACACUGAUUCAAGUAGUCAUCUGUCCUUGAGAAGCAGUGAACAUGUCAUUUUGUUUAGGCAUGAUUGCAUAGUUAUUUUAGCUUGACAACUAAAUAUUACAAUUUUAAAAAUGUACAUCUAGACACCUCAAGUCAUCCUCAUUGUGUCUCGUGAACACCUAACAAUGACAUGACACAUAAUUUUAGAGAUGUCUAUAUGAUCAUUUUGUAAGUUAGAAUGUUCAACCGACACAAUGGAGACACGUUGAGGUGUUUAGAUGUGCAGUGUUACAUUGCCAAUUUAAGAUGUCUAUCCAUAUAUUAUGCCUUUUGUUUAUAGUGUUUUGAGUAAUAUUCUUAUUCAUAUAGUCCCUGCAUUCUGGAUUAUAUUUGAACAAAUGGCUUAGGUACUUGGUAGAUGAUGUUACAUAUGUAGAUUUCAAAGCUUGUUUCUUUGUUGGGAACAAUAUUGUUGAAAAAAAACAUAUUAAGGACAAUGUCCUUAAGUAUAUUUCGCAGGUAUAAGUGUAUCAUCGAGAUUCAACAAGCUGUUCUAGUAUAAAUUAAGAGAAGUAACAACUGAGAUAAAAGAGUUUCUGUAUGCUUCCUGACUAGUGCAGGAAAAAAGUUUGAUAAAGUAGUCACUUCAAUAUGAAUAUCCACAGCACUACCUAAUCAAUAAUCUUUGGUAUUGAGGAAGGAGGAACUGAAAAAAGGUGUCCUAGUUGAUAUGUAAUUGGAGGAUCCGACGAUCGAGAAGCAUGAGGAUCAAUGCCAAUGGCUGCUUGCCUUUGUCUGUAAGAUGCCCAAGUUACCAAAUAAAGCCCAGAUAUAAUGAGAAGUCCUCCAAAUAUGCUGCAUUGACAAGUUCAUGAGAUCGUAAGAGUAGAAGGCGAAAGUAAAGUAGAAAGAAAAAGAUUGUAUGAGAUAGCCAAAUGUGGCAAGUAUAAACGAAUAUGUUCAUUUUCCGGGGGAAAGAGCUUUCAAAACUCUUUCGCCUUUGUAGGCCUCGUUAUGCCCAAAAUUGUGAAGCAUAACAAAGAGGAAACUGAUAAUACGCGAAUUAUACACAAGUUUUGCUUAAAGGGGCAGUAAGCACUGACCUUCCUAGAUAAAUAGGGCUCCCAAGGAAAACUCUUGAUAGAAAUGCAGACGCAGCAGGUUGAAGUGGAUUGUAUAGUGCAACCAUAGAAGGGCCAAGAAUCUUAUUGCACCAUGUCAACAUUCCGUAGUUCAGGGCAGAUGCAACAAUUCCCUGAAAAAUAGAUAUUAUGGCAACUUAACUACUUUGUUUUUGCCGCUAACUAAAAAAAUGUCUCUUGUUUUCCAAAACAUAUGCACAUGCUAACUAACCACAAGGGGUAAGAUAAGCAGAUGGAGAAGAUAAUCCGCAAUGAAACAUUUCAAAUAAAGCUUAAGUAGAUAUUUUGGCAUUCAUAGUAGACAUGGUUUGGCUGUCAUCCCCUAUCACUAAUCGGCAUGGCUAAGUAGUCGAUGAUGAUUGGAAAUCUGGAAAGCAACACCUACUGUACACUAGAUGUAUGCUAUAAGGCACACAUUAUAUGCACAUCUUAUAGACUGUAGUUCAAGGCAUCUUUUCCCCUUGUAAGAGAGGAAGGAGCUAAGUUUCAAGUUGAAAAAAAUCGCAACUGAUGUCAUGAGUAGAAUACUUAUUCAUGUGGAGAAGAAUUUGCUUACACCAUAACAUACGUAGUAAUGAGAACUCGCAACAGAACAGGAACUAUAAAGACGGAGAAUGAGAAUCUUACAGCAUAGCACACAGCAAAAGCUUCAGAUUGUGUCAAGUUCCAGUCGGUUGACUCAUCGGUCACAAAGAAGGCUGUUGCUACCAUUAAAAGACAACCAAAAAGGUAUGAAUAUGCUGUCACUGAUAUACUUGCAGGGUAUUUUGCCAAAACUGGAGCCUGAAAAUUUCUUAAAUUCAGUUAAGUUGGAAUAUUCCAAAACAAUACAAACAGAAACAGUUUAUCUGGAAAAGUCAAGGAUUUUUAGACAAUCGUUCAAGACAUGCCUAAAGCUAAAUUGCCAACUAUAUCCCAAAAAGAACAUCAUUCACCAAGAAAAAUAUAGGCUGUAAUGCUUUUUUGGCAAGACAAUCAUUUCUUAUAAAAUCACCUAAUAAUCAAAGACUUAACACUCGGAAUCACUUUAUACAAUAAAAAGAAGGCCUAAAAUUAAAUUUGAAGGUUUCAAGUAAUUGUUCGAUCUGAUCAGUAGAAAUUAAUGGAUCCAAGGAAAAAGAAUUUAAGAAAAAGAGUGAUAACAUGUGGUCAGAGGACAUGAUUGGGGCAUUAGAAUUAUGGACUCAGAGCUUUUCGAUUCCUAAAGCCCACGGAGAAGGGUGUGGAGCCCAUACUGCUCCCCCUGCCAGUGUGUUGGCACCCCUGCUCCCUCCUAUCCUUGAUGGAUCAAUUGAACAACUUUACAGAGAAAAAUGAACAAAUAAUAUUUCAUCUAUUAGCACAACAGUUAAUAGUGAGGGUCAAGUUGAACAAUAACUCAACAAGACCGAUCAUGUUCGAGCAUAUUCAAUUUUUUAUAAAAUUCCUUCAACAGAAAAAUCUAAAAGCCUCAAUUUUUAUAAUAUUCCCUCUUCAUCAAGCCAAAAAUACUGACAUUUUAAUGAUAUGAUGCUUUUUCUCAAAGAUUAUAUGAACACACUCAAAUUUAAAUUAGGUGGUAUUUCUGACUAACAGAUACGUUCAUCAAUAUAAAUUCUCUUUGAACUCCAUGAAUCGUAAUACCUAAUCAACUAGAAGGAUAGGGAUUAAUAUGAACCACUCUCACGAACCUGGAAACCAAUGUUUUUAUAUUCCUCAUUUAUUAUAAAUUUCCUCUUCAUAAAGCCAAAGAUACUAACAUUUUAAUGACAUGAUACUUUCUCUCAAAGAUAAUAUUCUUUUAUAGGUUCUUUCUGUCAAUAUAGAGGUCCCAAAUCUCCCUUUCUUAUGACCUCGUAUUCACGGUAUUCUCAUUCACUCCACUGGCAAACAAAUGGCUUCAUUGCCUAGUCGCAACGUCUCCUUUCCCGACUAUCUAAGUCCUCUAUGUGACUGCAAAUUUUUUUUAAAAGUGUUUAACCGCUGUCAAGAAACUUCUUAUGUGCUUGAGCCUUUCAAUGAGCUCCUUUUUUCCCACCGUAUUGUGUAUUCUUGUCUUCUUUCUGGAUUGACUAUCAUCAGCUGGCUCAAUAACAAAGUCAUCAUUAUCCAUUAUUAUGUUUUUUUUUUUUUUUUUGAAAAGGUAACUUAUCCAUUAUUAUGUUUUUACUUUUCCAUUUAUUCCUACAGUUAAACUCUCUGAACUUCCAAAGGUUCAAGAUUCUAUUGAUGUAUGGAAUCCCAUUAUUAUUUUUUUUUUUUUUUUUUGAAAAGGUAACUUAUCCAUUAUUAUGUUUUUACUUUUCCAUUUAUUCCUACAGUUAAACUCUCUGAACUUCCAAAGGUUCAAGAUUCUAUUGAUGUAUGGAAUCAUUUUUUCCAUUUCCAUUUUGAGGCAAAUCUCCUUUCAUUCCCUUGCCAGGUUGUCUCAUUGAGUUUCAGAUUGUCAAUCUUAAGAACAAGCAUAUGUACCCAAUAAAAACAUGUCAAUUCACAUUCAACAGCAUGUCAUUUGAGGAAUUGAUCAAUUGGCGCAAUAAACUUUUUUUUACAGCGAUGGUGUUUGGGUCAACUUGCGUAUACCUUAUCGAGUACCUACUACUUCCCAUCAGCACAGGUACUAGAUAACUCUCCCACAAAGGCUUAGGUGAUAGAAAGAAUUCGCCUAGCGUUUUUUACUCUGCUGAGAGUUGAACCUAGUCUCUAAGGUUUGCAGCCACCAUGUUGUAUAUUUUAGUAUGUAGAUAUCUGUGUGUAGUCUUUCAGUUUAGUUACUGAACAGUAUCUGGUUCUCAUCGAGUCAAUUGAAAUCAAUGAAAGCAAAAAGAUUAUCAAAUUACCUGAAUGGCUAAGUAUGCUGCCAUGCACAUACAGUUUCCUAUUAAGCAUAAAACACCGACGUGCCAAUCAUCAAACCCCAAUUCCAGGAAACUUGACAUUAACCAUCCAGUAGGCUCUGGCUGACCCUUAGCGCUUAUAUCACUGUGUAUGAAUUCUGAGCCUCUGUCUCCAAACACCACAGGUCCACGGAAGAUGGCCAUUAAGAUUGCCCCAGAAACACAAACAAUUGUACCUCCAACCUUUGCUUGACCUUCCACAGUAAAAAGCUUCACUGUUUCUGUACUGCAUAAGUAACAUUUAAGAGUAAAGUUGAGCAGAUCAUCAACUACAACAGACUACUGAAUGUGCAAAUACAUGAAAAAUACACAGAAAGAAGGCAGAUUGGUAGUUUGAGGAUGGCAACCACUGUGUGGACAAGAAAGCCUAGCAGAGAAAAAGAAAAAAAGAAUCUAUUGUAUAAGUAGCAAGGGUGUCAAUCUUGCCCUGCUUUUAUUACUCAAAUAAAAUGAUAGACCUGAAAAAUGUCAUAUAUAAACAGGCCUAUAGCAAUAGCACCCAAGGGUGCGCCCUAGUGGUUAAUGAAGUGGAAGGAGAAGUAUGAGGUCUCAGAUUCAAAUCCCAGCGGAAACAAAAUCACUAGAUGAUUUCCAACCAUCAGCCUAAGCCUUAGUGGAUAGAGUUACCCGGUAGUUGUUGGUGGGAGGUAAUAGUAUCACAUGGAAUUAGUCGAGGUGCGUGCUAGCUGGCCUAGACACCACGAUUAUCAAAAUAAAAUAGGAAUAGCAAUAAAGAACAGAUACCUUGAUCAGGACUCUCCUUUUCUAAAUGAAAAUUCUUUAAGACAAAUAUUUAGCAGAAGCUCUCUUAUAUCUUCAAAAAGUACCCCACAAAUUAUUUGUUGUGAUUGACCCCAGUUCUUCUGUGGAAAAUGUAGAUAGUUAUACAAUGUGCAUAACUUCCUUUCUUUUCAAGAACCAGUUGAUAACUAAAGAUUUUAGCAUCCCUCAACAAUAAUGUUCAUAUUUCUCAGUAAAGUCUCCCUAUAUCUAAGGGUUAUAUUGAUAUCCACCAUCUUAUAAAAUUACUGAACUGGUUCACUUAUAUUACUUUGACUGCAAUACAGCUCUAUAAUAAUGGAACUUCAUCUAAACACCUAAAACAUUAUUUCACUCUGAAUGCAGAUUUGUGGAUGACCAAAAAUAAUUACAAACAAUAGAAGUUUUAACUUCACUGCUGCACAUUUGGAAGAUAUGGAGUAUCAUAUUGAUGAAAAUCCUGAUACUAAAUCAAUUAGGCGCAAGCAAUUUCAGGUUUUCUCAAAGAAUACAAUGGUAUGACUGAAUUGCUAUCUUUUCACCCUAUGCAAAGUAAGGAAUCACAAGACUCCAGGUCCCCCUUCUCCAUGUUCAUGUACAAAAUAAUCCCCCAAUUGAGUACAGAAAUGUACAUGAAUAUAUCUUGAAAGAGAAACAGAUAUAAAUAAAGAAUCGAAGACAAAGGGGGUUGAUUUCUUACUUACCCCAUCAAUACAGCAAAUAUGAAUGUGAAGACUGGUAUUGCAGGUUGCACGGCUGCGGCAUAUGUUGGAUUUGUGUAGCCAAGACCAAUAAGAAACAAAAGUUGGUUCCCAAAAAUACUGUUGCAGUUGCCAAGAAAAACGAAAAAACAUAAAAAAAAAUGGUUUUAGUUCAGUGUAAGAACUAUGCAAGUUAACCACAGAAAUAGCAGGCACAUCAAACUUACCCAGUUAAUCCUAGAAAGAAGAAUGAUAGCAGAAGCCGCCUAUUCAAAGGAAUCCUCGACCUCCUAGACAUAGAAGGAAAGGCAACAUUAUUAGUGCCCAUGUACUUUCAGAUACUGAAACUAUUUUUUAAAGAGUUUCCAAAAGUAAGACAAUAGUUUAGAUGCAUACAUUUACCCCAAAACCUUUCAAGUAGAGGUUUAAGGAAAUAUGUACGAACAUGGAAAUGAGGAAACAACUAAGAAAGAGUAAAAGCCAGAGACAUGAGCGACAAUUUCAAGCUACUAGCCAGAAUAUCAACAAAGAAUUCUUAUGUGAAGUUUGAGAAUGCAUAUGUAUUUGUAUCUGAAGUUUGAGAAUGUAUGGAUAGACGUUCUUUAAGCUUGCUCUUAAAUCGGUAUUGUAAUUCCAUUUUACUACAUCUAAACGCUUUUCUUUGUAUCCAACUCACACAACAAGAUAAGCAAGUCAACUAUCUUUCUAAGAGGCUGUGAUGAGUCCUUACUUUUUAUGAGGUUUCAUUUUCAAACCUCCAAAUGGGAGAGCAGCAGAACAAUUUGAGGUGUGAUCAUAGUGGAUUACCAAGUAUCAAUUAGAAACAGAAAUUAUAUUACCCCAUCAUAAUGGUCAAAAGCACAUGAAGGACAGAGGAAAAUGACAACAUAAUAAUUUUAUGAAAGAUUUAAGUAUUAACAAACCGAACUUUUGAAAAUGUAAAUCCGCUUUAACUACAACAGCUCAAGAUGCAAAUACAGGUUGAAAUGAGGUAAACAAGCUCAAGCAGUCGACCAGACUCUCACAAACACAUACUAUUAGACAUUGUAGAGAACAAAUUUCAGUAAAUCCAGAAUUUUUUAACUUCAAUUGUAGAAAGGACUCAAACAUUAAUUAACCAUAGCAACAUCUAGUUUUCAGAAAUGCAUCUUCCAGU